rnacentral:rRNA from 1 species
GAUCGGUACUCCAGCAGGUCGGGGUCGGCCUCUGUGUUUGGCCGUCCAGUUGCAGGUGCGGGAGGUGUCAUAACUUUGUAUAUAGUAGAGGGAGUGACUGCGUCCGUCGUCGUACUCGACUGAACUCUUACUACAGACCUGAAACCUACUCUACUAGGUUGUUUGGUGCGGUGCGUGUUGUUGGGUCUAGGUCGUCUUAGGUUAGGGGAGGGAGUACGAGAAGUAAGACAAGACCUACCAGGUCACAGCAGCAGGAGACGAGCCGGAGCCGCCUAUCGGUUGUCUAGGUAGUCACUCAUCCCAUUUGCGUCGUCGUUUAAUCGAUCCAAGGAGAGCAGGAAAAUGAGCCUCGCUCCUAGUAUAGUAGUAUAGUUGAAGUCACAUCUUUAUAACGGAGGCUAGUAGACGCUCAGACGCACUAGGACACGAAAGUCUGCGUCGUCUUUAGCAAAACUCCGUACCGGCUCGUGCGCCAACGGCGGCACGACGUCUCCCGUCCGCGGUGCCACUAGGUUCUUCAGCGAAGAGACCCGGUCCAAGGACGGUUCCACCUCCGGGAGUUCAGGCUCGAGUUCGCGUACGUCACGAAGGAGUCCCUGCGGCUGCGCUCCUACCUCUCCCCGCUCUUGCUCUACGAGUCGGUUGACCACAGCCUCCAGUCCCUGCAGCGGAUGUCGCAGCUCUAGUAGUAGCUGUGCCGGUUGUAGAACCGGUCCCUCUGGUCGUCUGGCGGCAGGGAGGAGCCGCGGUAUAGGUUCCCGCGGACAAUGGGGCAGGUGACGUUCGCAGACAUGUCGUAACCCUUUUCUUAGCUAGUCCACUGUCGCUCUCAACCCCGUUAGAAGUCUCUCAAGCGCUUUAUGUCGUAAAGAAGAUCAUGACCGGACUUACUCUGCUCUGUGUCAUACCUACUCUUGCUCUCAUACGCGCGUUCUUCUGACUGCGAGGGUCUAAAACCCCUGCUGCAGCUACAGUAACCGAAACUGUCGCUUUAGUUGGUCCAGUUCCUACUUGACGAACUGAGCCUCUUGUUCCUGGAGUGACAGUAGAGGGAACAACCAGGUCCCCCCCGUCCCUUUAGUUGGUAACGGUCCUUCCAGAUAUUAGAACAGCGGUUUUUCGUAAAGUUGAGGACGCGUACCUAUACGUAGAGUGUCGUUAAAUGUCAGAUACCACGUGACUUCCUAUAGCAAUUUCCCCGGUACCCCUCAGUUCUGAAGCUUCUUGAUCCUUGUUACUCGCUCUACCUUUAAUAUUUCUUCUAGGUGUCAAAAGAGUUCCUAUUUUCCAUGGACCAUCAGAAUCUACUACAGACCUCUUAGCUUCUGACCCUAUACCAGGUUCGACGGAAAGGACUACACUUUUUACCUUCGUCUUAACGAGACUGUUGAGCGUUGAGUCGUCAAAGGUUAGUGGGGUUACGUUCUUUUUAUUAGGUCCUCCAUUUCGAGGAAUUGUUGCUGCUUUCAUAUCUCAAUAAGUUAUCUUUCCGUAAGGGAAGGAUACAGGAGGUACCGUCUCUACUAGACCUAUCGAAGUCUCUUGAUCCGUUCCGGGAACGUAAUUUUCCAUUACCGAACGGAGAACGUUAACAUCAGUACCCUCCAAAGGAAAGUUUCUUAGAGUCCUAGUGGCUCACCUCUUCUUACCAACGGUCGUAUUUGACCCUACGUUACUUCUUGCUCCCACUGUAGUCUCGGUAUGACCUGGAUUCAAUGAUACUAGACAGUUCAUUAGACUUCCACACGAAAAACAUGUAGUGUAGUAAGGGUCUUCUGAUACGUCAGGGCCAUCCGGAAGAAUGUUUCAACACCUAAAGUCUCCCAAAGUAUGGCUUGCACGUACCUGCGAGGGAACUUCUUUGACGCGAGCCCAUACACCUUCUUGACCGGGUCGCGACGAACUAGGAUUAACUUUUCUUCUCGAGGUCCACGUAGUCCUGGCAAUUCCAUGUACUGCACAACGCGCUGACCCCUUAACCCGCUCGAGCUUCUCUUCCCAAGAACUUUCUGACGUCAAGGUCUCUACUUCACCUCUGGAGUAUAAGGUUACUUUACUCUCGAAUGUCUCACCAAGAGAUACUGAGACAAACGCACUUCCAGCCACAACGAUACGGUUUAGACGUGUGGAACGACUAGAAGUUACGUCGAGCCGAUCUUUCCUUGCAGAAGAGAAAGGCUCCGAACUUAAUGGACGCCUAUGAGAUGAAACUACCGUACUCUCCCUCUACCGUCGAUGGACGUCUCUAGCCGGUCUACCAUGUAGACUCCAUGGAACCGAACUUUCCACCGUGUAUACAUGAAGGACGAAGGCAGUCAUUAGAGUGUUUGAACGUAUGAAAACUACGUUCUCUACGGCAUCACCUUCGCGAGGGAUAACUAGAGAACUCGUAGAGCUGUGACUUCGUACAAGUAUAGAUGUUCCAGCUCAGUACCAGGCACACCUUCUGAUGGUAGGUCUCGUUGGACUUCAGAGAGAAGUAUAAUGGACCGUCGGUUGUGGGGUUUCGUUACCCUUCCUCGUUAACUGUCUUACCUUCUCUUGGGGAGGACCACGAAACCCUUCGUGAUGGCCUCGCAGUUUGUCGACCUUUAACAGCCCCGCACGCUCCUGCUCAAGCCCCACGGGUUGCUGGACGUAGAAGGACUAGACGUGGAGGAGGGCGUGUUGGAGUCUGCCGACUUUUAAUCAACAGGAUUAGACGACUUACUACUUCUGGGGUACGGUAAUGAACCCUCGACCGACUGCAAGGACUUACACAACCUUUAUCCCCAGUUCAGUAUGUGACCGCGCUGGUACUGGACGGGAAGACCACCCAAAGGUCUGGACGUGUUAAACCACGAGGUGCUAGACCUAUAGCUCCUCACCUAUAACCUCCUACCACGGUACGGUUCCGAGUCCUAUGAUUGAGAGACGUUCACGUGGUUCGACUUCUGUGAAGGUGUUCCUAACGUCGUAGACUUCCUUGAAUUCUUCGACUUUCACUAUCGCUACGGGCUCAACCUAGUUCAUAAUACGAUGGACGAGGUGUUCCGGCCUGCGCUCCAACAGGAGUCCAGCUCACUCCUCCUGAAACUCGUACAUGUCUAGGGGUUCAUACUGUACAUUCCUCACCUGUUACCCCUCGCCUUCGUUAAAUUUAAGUGACGGUAGAAUGUACGACCCCGGACCACCUUGCCUAUAGAAGCUUUCCACAUGUCCAGAGAGGACGUUCGAUGACUGGACUAUGGCUGUUUGACAGUUAACACGAAUAUCCAAAUACAGCGAUGAUAAACAAUACAUGAAUAUAUACACAUUUGUGUCAUAAACUAUGGGUCUCAUUUACACAUAUGACACGUUGAGGCUACAUGUACUGUGCCAAACAUUAGACUUAUUUUUUUAUUUCCCGACCCUCCUCUACUCUGUGGGGCUUAACGCCGGUGCCUCACGAGACAAGAGUGUAAAAACAUUA